rnacentral:misc_RNA from 1 species
UAUCGGAAAGAAUUCGAGCUG